GACGAACGCUGGCGGCGUGCCUAAUACAUGCAAGUCGAGCGAGACUCUUCGGAGUCUAGCGGCGGACGGGUGAGUAACACGUGGGCAACCUGCCUGUAAGACUGGGAUAACACCGGGAAACCGGUGCUAAUACCGGAUAAUCCUUUUCCUCUCAUGAGGGAAAGCUGAAAGUCGGUUUCGGCUGACACUUACAGAUGGGCCCGCGGCGCAUUAGCUAGUUGGUGAGGUAACGGCUCACCAAGGCGACGAUGCGUAGCCGACCUGAGAGGGUGAUCGGCCACACUGGGACUGCGACACGGCCCAGACUCCUACGGGAGGCAGCAGUAGGGAAUCUUCCACAAUGGACGAAAGUCUGAUGGAGCAACGCCGCGUGAGCGAUGAAGGCCUUCGGGUCGUAAAGCUCUGUUGUUAGGGAAGAACAAGUACCGAAGUAACUGCCGGUACCUUGACGGUACCUAACCAGAAAGCCACGGCUAACUACGUGCCAGCCGCCGCCGUAAUAC
rnacentral:rRNA from 1 species